UACCAGUGAUUAAAAGAUUCUGCCAAAUGAGUUCUACUGAUUAUACUCUAUACCGUUCCAUAUAUUCUGAGGUC